rnacentral:SRP_RNA from 1 species
ACUGGGCACGAUGCAUGUGCCUGUAGUCCUGGCUACUCAGGAGGCUGAGGUGGGAGAUUGCUGGAGCCCAGGCGUUCUGGGCUGUAGUAUGCAGUGCUAAUCUUGUGUGUACACUGUGUUCGGCGUCAAUACGGUGACCUGGGAGCUAGGGACCACGAGGUUGCCUACGGAAGGGUGAACCCAUCCAACCUGGAAACAGCGGUCAGAACUCCUGAGCAAUGAUUAGCAGUGGGAGUGUGCCUGUAAGUAGCCACUGCCCUCCAGCUAGCAACAUAGCCAGACCUGUCUCUU